rfam:Flavobacterium succinicans strain DD5b FLB_contig000053, whole genome shotgun sequence.
GCCUAGCCCUGAUGGAAGCGGCAUCCUGUGGCUCCGGGGUUCGGAGCCACAGAUAUAGCGUACAGCAGGAAAUAGC